UACGGGGGGAGCAAGCGUUGUUCGGAUUUACUGGGCGUAAAGGGCGUGUAGGCGGCCACCGCAAGUCGACUGUGAAAUCUCCGGGCUUAACUCGGAAAGGUCAGCCGAUACUGCGGGGCUAGAGUGCAGAAGGGGCAACUGGAAUUCUCGGUGUAGCGGUGAAAUGCGUAGAUAUCGGGAGGAACACCGGUGGCGAAGGCGGUUCUCUGGGCCUUACCUGACGCUGAGGAGCGAAAGCGUGGGGAGCGAACAGG
rnacentral:rRNA from 1 species